AUUGAACGCUGGCGGAAUGCUUUACACAUGCAAGUCGAACGGCAGCACGGACUUCGGUCUGGUGGCGAGUGGCGAACGGGUGAGUAAUGUAUCGGAACGUGCCCAGUCGUGGGGGAUAACGUAGUGAAAAUUACGCUAAUACCGCAUACGAUCUAUGGAUGAAAGCGGGGGAUCGCAAGACCUCGCGCGAUUGGAGCGGCCGAUAUCAGAUUAGGUAGUUGGUGGGGUAAAGGCCCACCAAGCCAACGAUCUGUAGCUGGUCUGAGAGGACGACCAGCCAUACAGGAACUGGGACACGGUCCAGACUCUGACGGGGGGCAGCAGUGGGGAAUUUUGGACAAUGGGCGAGUGCCUGAUCCAGCAAUUCGGCGUGCAGAAUGAAGGCCCACGGGUUGUAAACUGCUUUUGUACAUAACGAAAAGAUUUCUACUAAUACUAGGAGCUCAUGACGGUACUGUAAGAAUAAGCACCGGCUAACUACGUGCCAGCCGCCGCCGUAA
rnacentral:rRNA from 1 species